rnacentral:misc_RNA from 1 species
UAAAUGCGAUAAGUAAUGCGAAUUGCAGAAUUCAGUGAAUCAUCGAAUCUUUGAACGCACAUUGCGCCCCUUGGUAUUCCAUGGGGCAUGCCUGUUCGAGCGUCAUUUGUACCCUCAAGCUCUGCUUGGUGUUGGGUGUUUGUCCCCGUCUCCGCGCGUGGACUCGCCCCAAAGUGAUUGGCAGCCGGCGUACUGGUCCCGGAGCGCAGCACAUGUCGCGCAAACGAGUGCCUUGGUACGGCGGCGUCCAUAAGCCCCUCUCUCACGCUCUUGACCUCGGAUCAGGUAGGGAUACCCGCUGAACUUAAGC